UAAUAAAAAAAAACCUAUGCCCAAUCCUGUCCGAUCUUGGAAGCUAAGCAGGACUGGGCCUGGUUAGUACUUGGAUGGGACACUGCCUGGGAAUACCAGGUGCUGU
rnacentral:rRNA from 12 species